CUGCUGUGGUAGGGACGGCCGACACGCCCUUGCGGUUGCCGCGGUGCAUGGUCACAGUGAUGUACUUCCWCUUCUGGUGCAGCGAGGAGCUGAUGUGGACCAGCAGUCGGGACAGAUGAAGAACACAGCUCUGCAUGAAGCUGCAGCUCAGGGUCCUGAAGGUCUGAAGUGUGCCGAGGUCCUGCUCAGCUGCAGGGCCAGUGUGAGGAGGAGGAACGCCAGUGGUCAGACGCCGUACGACGCGGCGGUGAGCUCCGGCU